rnacentral:rRNA from 1 species
AAUAAUUUCUGCUCAAUGAAAAUUUAAAUAGCCGCAAUAUAUUAAUUGUGCUAAGGUAGCAUAAUAAUUAGUUUUUUAAUUAAAAAAUAGUAUGAAAGAAAAAAUAAAAAAUUAACUUUUAAUAAAUUAAAAAAUAUAAAUUAAUAUUUAAGUAAAAAAACUUAAAUAAAAUAAAAAGACGAAAAGACCCUUUAGAAUUUUAUUAUAAUAAUUAAUUCAAUAAUUAAAAAUAAUUUAAUUGGGGAGAUUAUAUAAUUAAACUAACUUAUAUUUAAAAUAAACAUUAAUUAAUGAUAAAAAAUAAUAAUCCAUAAAAUGAAAUAAAAAUAAAUUACCUAAGGGAUAACAGCAUAAAAAUUUUUAAAAGAUCAUAUUAACAAAAUUUAUUAUGACCUCGAUGUUGAAUUAAGAAUAAAUUAUAAAGUAGAUUUUAUAAUUUUAAGUCUGUUCGAC